GCCACCCGCUGUCUGCGUGGGCCUCGUGGGAAAGCUGAGGACUGGGGUGGGCCCAACAACCAGCCUGCAGCCCCUGUCUCCGUGUUGGUGCCCCGCUCUGUGCAGUGGACCCCGACCCUCCAGGGGCCCUGGGCAGUGUUUUCCUGGGGCCGGCGCGCUUUGCUCUGGAGCCUGAGGACCAGGAUCUGGGGAUAUCCAAACCUUCCAGACCGGCCCGUACACCAGUCCUCUGACCCAGGCCUCAGCCAGGCCUGUGCCUCCCCCCACCUGCCACCUGCCUGGCCACUGCACAGGACCUUCCGGGUCUCCUUGCCUGCUGUGAAAACAUGACGUGCUUUAGGCUGACGUCUCGCAUACUUGGAAGGACAUACACACAAUGUAUGUGCAAUUUAAAUAAUGAUAAAGCCCCUUGUAUUUUAACGAAUUGAAGGAUAAGCAACAGUCUUCAAAGUCUGGUGGGACUGACUCCAAAAGCAUCUCCUAUCUGCCCUGCUAUUCAAGGUCUCUUUUAUCCCAAGUGUUCCUCUUACUGUUGCUCUUGCUUUUCCUUAUAGUUUACCUGCUUUAAUCCUCUACGGAAAAGCGAAGUGGUUCUUUGAUAUAUUCUUCCCUGCUGCUCCCCCUUUUUAAAUCAGCAUUAAGUGUUUGUGCAGCUGAAGGUCUGCAGCAUGCUGUGUGGACGCACCAGCCUUUCGAUGGAUAUGUGCAUGAACUCCAGAUAUUCUGCUAGAGAAAACAGUGCUUCUACGAACAUUCUUAAACUUGUCUCUUGAUGCAGAGAAUGUGCUAUGAAGAAAACUGCUGGGGCAUGUGCUCAGAUCAUCCGCAUUUUUACUAAAUAGCCACUUUCCAAUUUUCAAGGAGUUUUUACCCAUUGUACUAUCCUACCAGUAGCAAGCAUGAGUUCUUAUUGCUCCACUUCUUCACCAAGACCUUGUGUGUUUAGACUCUUUAUUCUUGCCAGUGUGGUACGAUGAAGCAGUGCUUCAUUCGGAUUGAAUCCUCGUUUCUCUGAAGACUGAUGACGUUAAGCAUUUUAUGUGGACCAAUGUCACACUUCCUCAGCUCUCUUAUCACGGAGUCUUUCAAGUACAGGGCCAGGAAGCAAUGCCCAUUUCCCCACGGGAAGAAUCCAUCAUUCCCACCCCUGACUGAGCACACUGGCCUGUUCUCAGGGUGUCUGCACAAGGCUGGGUCUGGUUCAUCAGCUCCAACACUAGCGCUAUUCUGACUCAGUUACUGUCCUAUGAGACUAACCAAAGCACAGCCAGCCAGGUGUCCUCACUCUGUGCUUUUUUAGGAGUUUCUUGGCUACUCUUGACCUUGUACUCUUCUGGGUAUGUUUUGGAAUUACUUCAUGGGCUCCUUGAAAUAGACUGGACUGGAUCCCAUUGUCUCAACUCUUUGGGGGAUAAUCGCCAUCUUGAAGAUCAUGAAUAUUUCUCUGGAAGCAGAUGAUGUAUCUCUAUUUAAGAGACGGAAGGAGGAGAGAGGAAGGAGAGGUAAAAAGGAUUAAGAUGCAUUACGUACAUGCACUAACUCCCCAUGGUGAGGAGAGUAAUCAUUAUGUACUGCCAACGUGUACUAAUAAACAUAAAAAUUUAGAA